rnacentral:rRNA from 1 species
CCUUUUGAUAGUCCCUUCACAGACUAUAGAAUAAGCACUUACUAACUACGUGCCAGAAGUCUCGGUAAUACGUAGGGUGCAAGCGUUAUCCGGAUUUACUGGGCGUAAAGAGUGUGUAGGCGUCCUUUUAAGUUCUUAUUGAAAGACUGAGGCUCAACCUCAGCAAGUGUAAGAAUACUGGAAGGAUUGAGGAUUAUUCGGGGUGCUGGAACAGCUGGUGUAGUAGUGAAAUACGUUGAUAUCAGCUGGAACACCGAAGGCGAAGGCAAGCACCUGGGAUUCUCCUGACGCUGAGACACGAAAGCUAGGGGAGCGAAAAGGAUUAGAGACCCUUGUAGUCCUAGCCGUAAACGAUGGAUGCUAGCUAGUGUGAUUUUUUGCACUGGCGCAAGCUAACGCGUUAAGCAUCCCGCCUGUGGAGUACGGUCGCAAGACUAAAACAUAAAGGAAUUGACGGGGACCCGCACAACCAGUGGAGCGUGUGGUUUAAUUCGAGACAAAGCGAAAAACCUCACCAAGGCUUGACAUGUAAGCGUUCUAUGCCUAAGAAACUAGGCAAAUCCGUAAGGAGGUUUACACAGGUGCUGCAUGGCUGUCGUCAGCUCGUGCCGUGAGGUGUUCCCUUAAGUGGGGAAACGAGUGCAACCCUUGUCUAAUGUUAAAUUGUUCAUUAGAGACUGCCCCGUUUUUUACGGGGAGGAAGGAAAGGCGGACGUCAAGUCAGCAUGGCCCUUAUGCCUUGGGCUACACACACCCUACAAUGGCGAAAAACAAAGAGUUUGCAAGUCCGCGAGGACAAGCUAAUCUCAUAAAUUUCGUCUCAGUUCGGAUUGGAGUCUGCAACUCGACUCCAUGAAGUCGGAA